rnacentral:rRNA from 1 species
AUACGGAGGGUGCAAGCGUUAAUCGGAAUUACUGGGCGUAAAGCGCGCGUAGGCGGUUUGGUAAGUCGGAUGUGAAAGCCCCGGGCUCAACCUGGGAAUUGCAUUCGAUACUUCCAGACUAGAGUAUGGUAGAGGGAAGUGGAAUUCCGGGUGUAGCGGUGAAAUGCGUAGAUAUCCGGAGGAACACCAGUGGCGAAGGCGACUUCCUGGACCAAUACUGACGCUGAGGUGCGAAAGCGUGGGGAGCAAACAGGAUUAGACACCCCGGUAGUCC